rnacentral:lncRNA from 1 species
GUUUUGUUCUUGGUUGCUUAAUAGGCCCAGGGACAAAUCCUUUGAGGAAGGAAAAGCAACUCUGAGGCUAUAAUUGAGCCCCAGGAAUGCCAAAUGUAUAUAUAAUUAGACACUUAGGAAAAAGUCAAGGAGCCUCGUGUUUAUCGUGCUGGCUCCGUCUCCUGCGCUUUUGGCACUGUGGUUUCUCAGCUGAGCUUCAGGCAGUUGCCUGGGCUGUUAAAUAGCCCUCACCAGGACAAGCAGCUGAGGAAUCCCUGCAGCUCAUUCUGCACUGUGCCGCUGGUGGGUAUUGCUCUUCCAGAGGGCUCAGUCCUCAGGAGGACAGGUUUUGAUGACCUAGUCUGAUUACAGCAUCUUUGACAGCUUUAAAGGAAUUUGCUCGAGGGAAGGCGACAGCUGCUGCUCUGAUGAAGGAUUUUUCUGAGCAGGCCUCCCAAGCAAGACAUGUCAGGAUGAGAUGCUGCCUACGCUUUUCAUCACAACCAACAGGUUGUUAAACUGCAAUCAAAAGCACUUAGUAGGAAUGGAUCUGUCCCUAUUAUGAGAUUUGAACUCCUGACAUCUUUAUCCAGUGGAACUUGAGUGCCCAGGUAACUACAAAUUAUUCAAGCAUUUACAACCAUUACUAUCAAUAUAAUUAACACACUGUGGAAAAAGCAGUGAGAACUGUACUAUUAAAUGACCAUUUCUAACAUUUAGAUAGCAAUCUUUUAUGAAAACAUUUAUAAGAUGCCUUAUUAUGCUUCAAUUAAAUGAGCAGAAAAAAAUGUUUACAUUUAAGGGGAACUGAAAAGAAGAGAUUUCUGGAGUUGAAAAUUAAAAUAUCCAUUGUUUGAAAACAAUGGGAAAAAACAGAUAGGACAACAUUUCUUAUGGGGGUUUCCAAGAUAAUCUCAAAAAAAUUUCAGAUCAAUUAUUUUAAAUACUAUGACCUCAUUUUCAACAAAAUCAGGUUCUGUAGAAAAGGCAGGAAUAAGGUUUGCCAUUCAGGUCUCAAAAAGCUUCUGAGCUCAUUUCCACUGUAUGCAGAAGAGGCUACAAAAACUUUUUAUGUGCCUUGAUGGACAACACUAGUAAAAAUGAAUGAGACAAUUUGUGUAGAGAAAUUGUGAGUGAGAUGAACGCUAGGCUUUGACUUCCCUCUUCCCACCUCCACCCAUUUUUCUGGCCACAGUAUGCACAUAAAUUCCUCCUAUUAAUUAGUAGGAAGUGAUUACAUCAAUGGGAACAAGAAGGAACCAGAGAAGCUAGGUACCAUGGUUUGGAAGGUUUUGUCACCCUUCUGUCUAGAAUCUACUGUCAGCAAAGUUUUGAAGAAAGAAUUUUCCCUACUGAAAGCUCAGCUUAGGUAUCUCAAAAAUAACUGCUGUGAAACACUUCCAGGACACAACCAAGAGGGGAUUCUGAGAUCGUUUUUCAACCCCUGCGACUGUGAGCCAGUUGCAGCAUGAGGAAAAGCCCUCCAACACCCCAAUGUACAGGAAAGAGAAGGUAAGGCAAUUCUCUUCAGGUAGCUUUUAGAUAUGGUGCAUUCAGUGAAGUGCCCCAGGCCAGCAAAAUGUGUCCACCUCCACGCUGACACUGCUUUCACUCCUGGAAAGGGCAAGGUUUGAGUACAGCAUCUCUUACAAUCACUGUAAUCUUAUGCAGAGACUAGUCCCUUCUGUCAAUAUAAGCUGCUUGCAACCCUCAUGCGACAAGGUGGGUGUAACAGAUUAAAACACUUGGGUCUUUCCUCCCACUCUGCAGCAAAAGUUCCCCUUGUGAAAGAACAAAUGCCAGUGUUAUUCCACAUGAGAUUCCAUCUGAGCUGGAAAAUAACACAAAAAUGUAGUUCUUUAGAUAUUUCACAGCAAAUAAAUAGCUCCAGGAAAAGAACAACAACAAAAAAGUUCAAGCUUGUGCUUGCAGAGACAGUAAACCACCAUAUUUCAGCAGUCAUGGCAGGUAAUUCUAGCUGGAAAUUGUAUAUUUAAUGAUGGCCAGCCUUCAGCAUUUGACAACAGACUAUUGAAGCCUGUUGAAUGGUAAAUCACCUCUCUUCAUUAUCAGUAAUCCUAUUAUAAUAUCUGUAGAAAUGUCUAAAGUUAAAAUCUCAUUUUAUUACUAUAAUAAUGGAUCUCAUUUGUAAAACAUAUGAAAUGAGGCCAUAACUGUACUGGAGGGAGAUAUAUGUGAACCCACUACAUCUAUAUCUACUUCCUGAUGGCUUUUGCCCACAUAUGCUCACAUUUUGAACAGGAGAAGAACUAAAAUAAAUGCCACUUGCAUGAUUUUUGGGAUUGGGUAUGGUUUUUAGAAAGGAAACCAACAUGAUCACAGAAAUGGAGUAAUCUCCACAAAAAAAGAACAGCCUUAAAUUUACAUUUAUGCAUAGGGAUAUGUAGGUGUUAAUCUGUGAUUUGCUCCAUUCAGCCCUUUCCAAUUGCCAGGAAAGCCCAGCUGCACAUCCACUAUUAUCACUACAUACUAUUUUUGGCUGCUGAGUACAUUUCAAGACACGUCAUCCUUCCCAAUCCAACACUUGCAUGAAGGGCAGAAACUCCUCUCUCCACUCCUCUGUCAUCUAUCACAGCUCCCAUCCCUUGGUGGCACUGCUGGCUCAGCCCUCCCUGCAGAGGGAUCUCCAGCAGUUUCUCCUCAAUCCUCACCAUUUCCUUGAAUGAGCUGCUUUCCAACUGAAGCUUCAUGCAGGAGGCUUCAUGAUAGCAUCCAGAGUACAUGUCCCAAGUAUGUCCAGCCCCAUCUUCUGAUCCUAGUGCAGAGCAGCUCCCGGUCUGAUGAUUAAGGUGUGCAUAUAGGAGAUGUGGGUUCGUAUUCCCUUGGACUUAGAUGCUGAAUCCAGAUCCCCUGUACUCUGCGUGUGUCUUCCAGCUUCUGAGUUGCUGGACAUAAAACCACAGAUUUCCACCAUUCUGCCCAUGAAGAUGACACAGAGAAGACAGAUGACAGUAGCUGUCCUCCUUCAAUACUGAGGAAAAGGCCACCUGUGGACCAGGCUGUGGGGGAAAAGCGGAAAGCAGAGAGAAGGGUUCGAUUUCGUGAGCCGGAAGAAGUCAUUGAGCAUGUUAUUUCCUGCUGUGACUACGUAGUGGUACAUGACAGGUCUUCACCUGGAUUGCCUAUGCUCCUGGGGCUAUCAUUUUGUGUGGUACUGAUCCUGGCUGCAAGUCUCUUCUACACCAGCAUGAAGCAAGAUACCAAAGUCCUGGAAGAGUUUCAAUCCCGACUUGUUAUCUUCUUUCUUCAGAUAAGACACAUUGCUCAUAGAUGCUGGACCUGGUUUACAAGGUAGUAGCAAUGUCCUCCAUUUGCAGGAAGGCAGCACUGAUAAUCACCACGUGUCAGAGAGAACCUCCCAGCCCCCUCAGUCCACACGUAAGGAACACGAGUAUCCACCUUGAAGAGCAAAAAAAGCCACCCAUUUUGUGCACUUUCUAACAUCUACUUGUUCUCUCUUUUUUUAAAUAUAUAUAUUUUUUAAUAUUUCUGAAUGAUAGUAGUAGCACUAAGAGGUCCCACCAAACUGAUGUUCCAUCACCCUUAGCAGCAAACAAGGGUAUGAGUUUAGUCCCCUGAAGAGACUAUAAACUGUUGCUAUAAGGAGCAGAGGCAGAGAGAGGAAUUCAUUGAUCUGUGCAUGCAGAAGUACAUUGAAUAGAAGUCUCCUGAGUCUCAGGUCAAAGAAUAAACACCAAACCAUUUUUCUCCUCAAGCCUCUUACGUGCUAUUCUGCAAAGUUUAACAUAAAGCUGAACUAUGGCACAAACACUGCUCCGCUGGCCAAAGGCUUGGCAAGCUGCUAUAUUUAUAUACUUGAAAUGAUUGCUAGUAAAAAUCUCAGCAAAUGGCUUUCUUGUUUCCCUUCAUGCAUUUUUUCCUCUGUGGGCAAAAGCUGUUCCUUAAUGUUUCACUUGACUCCCAGGUGUGAAAAAUAACGUGAGAACUCAUUUAAAUACUAAACAGUGCAUUUGCCUAACACAAUACAGGGCAGCAUUGAAUCCCAGGUUAAUUAUCAAAUCAGAACUUAAUCCUCUUGGUUUGAUUCAGUCCAUAAACCCAAGAUUUAUGGUUGUGUUUGUCUUCAGUCGAAGCUUUCACAUUUAUGCCUGCAUGUUCAAGGGUAUUAUAGACUGUUUACAAAGGUGUUGGGUCAAAGCCCUGUUAUCUCUGUUGUAGCACCAUACAGCGUACCUCUCUGGAGGGAACCAAGCAUAUGCAAUCUUAUGAGCUUCAGCUAUGCUUUGUUCUUAGAAUCACGUAAUUGCUCAGGUUGGAAAAGACCUUCAAGAUCAUGAAGUCAACCACAGACAGAAACAGCAUGAUCCAUUUUCCAGGCCCUACAUUCUUGUCGAGUAAUACUUGAUAUAUGCAUAAGGGUGACAGCAGAGCCCAUAGAAGCUGAAGAAAAGAAAGGAAACAGUGGAGAAGAGGAAAGAGAUGCCUGCAAGACCUUGGCUUUAACUCCUCUGCCACAGUAAUGCACCAGAAGGAAAAAAAAAAUUCCUAACCGACUUUCAAAAAAAGCAAGCUUGUCCAGGCUGCCCAAAAAUUUAAACCAGACAGAGGGUAAAAGAAAACCAAUUACAUAGCCUUCACCUAGAGCAGAGUGGGCAGCAAGUUGACCAAUAACGAGCACAAAAAUAUAUGUAUUUGUAGUCAGUAAGAACUGACUUGAGCAGCUAUUCUCAUGCUCUGAAGGCAACAGCAAUUGCACCUGGGGAGCUGCUGGUCUGGGACACACAGGGCACUGCAGGAGCGUUUGGCUCAGUGGCUCUUUAUGCAAACCACUCAUGCACCCCAGCCCUCAGGGUAAGUCCCCUGAGGCUUCCCUGCUCUCUCUCUCUCUCUCUCUCUCUCCACUCAGCCCACUGUUGGGAUAAUAAAGAAGAGGUUUUAAACUUAUGCUCUGGUGAAUCUAUGGUGGGAAGGUUUUUCCGGAAGAGUCAAUUCCUGCACUGCAAGUUGUGGUAUAUUGCAACAUAAAAAGGCAAAGCCUGACAGGAGCUGGAUCACUUAGAGGGAGAGCAGUACCACAAAUCCUUCCUGCGUGCUUCAAUGCAGUUUCAGUAACUUGAAAAGAAGCCAAGGGGUUAAAAUUAACCAGGAACUCCUUUUAGGACUGUGAGGGAUGAUAUGAAAUCCAUAUGCAUGUUAAUAUGCAUGGGGCCUCCUUCUUCUAGCCCUGCUCAAGGUGGAAAAUAGCCACGCUGACCUUGCUGUGCCCAGGUUUAUCAGUGUGAGAGGCCCACACUGAGAAUGGCUAUCACAUCCAGGUUGGCAAGGGAAAUAAAGCAGAGGAGCAGCUAUUCCUGGCUCUGGCUAGGACAGCUUUAGGCACAGGCAAUAGCAGCACUUGAGUUGUCUGCAGAUUCCCCAUGUUUUUGGGAGGCUUCCUGGGCUGGGAUUCUUUGCUGCGAUCAGUCAGGUAUUUGGCAAAAUGCAGAGAGCCAAAAGAAUGCAUUGUAGAGUACCAGCAGACAGCCUGAAACAAAUAAAAGCUAAAAUCUGUCCCUGGGAGAGCAGUGACCUUUUACAGCUGAAGAAUCUGCAGCUGAGAAAGCCAGUGCCUCUGUGCAAGUGAAUGAAGCAGGUCAAUAGCCAGGGUGGAAAUAGGAGUUAAAGUCCUGACCUCUAGGCCUGCCUUUAAUUACCAAUGCACAGCUCCACUGUAGACUUACCUGUUUUAUUUUCUCCUGGCACUGAAGCACUUGUCCCCUCAAACCAUUCUGCUUACACACAGCACCAUUCUCAUACUCUGUUCUUUAUCCAUCACACAUCUGUGCAUACUGCUGUGAGUCAGAGAGGAUUUCUCCUUGCUCUUGCUCAACACUGCUUUCUUAGGUGUGACACCUUGGUGAGUUUGGAGAAGAUGACCUCUGAAUUUAUACAGAAUGGGUUGUGUUGGUUACUGUUUCCCUUGCAGGCUGUGCUGGGUAAUAUUUUCCUCCAGUAUGACUCCCGAGAAUUGCUUUAUAAGGAGGAAAACAAACGGAGAGGGAUGUAAUAAUGAUAAUGUAAUAAAUGGUCAAACGUUCACAUGAAUUCACUGCGGUGCCAACAUGAAGACUAACUAAAACUCAGCUAUCUCUGAGCAAUUAUUUAGUCUAUCGUGGAAAUGUCAUUUUUUUUCAUCAAGUUGCAGAGAGGAGCGACAGACUCUUGCAGCAAGUUUUGAAGAAGGCUGCAAAUAAGUAGGCUUGCUAUGAGCACUGUCUGGAUUGGUAAGAAUCCAAGGGACAGAAGAGAGCAGAGAGUUCUGUGCACGAAAAGAGGCCUAAGGGCAGAAGUGCUCCUUACUAUCCUUUAUGCAAUGGGUGUUAAAUUCAUGCAUAGCAGGAAUCAGCAGAUCAUGGCAGUGUUGUUCUGACAAUGUGCAGUGCAUUCCUGCAGCAGAAACAGAGGGCAGCUGCCAGCACCCUCUUCAGGCAGGCUCACCCCAUCAGCACCACCUGAUUGCAUUAGCUGGCAUAGCCAUUCCCAUAUGAUUACAGGAUGUAGAAAAGCACACAGUGAGAUGACACUAGAUUUUUUGUGUGUUAACCUCUUAACACACUUUGCAUUCAUGUUUGCAGCUCCAAAGUCUGCUUCUAGUCCUGCUCUACUGCUUCACCUCUCCAGCACUGUGAGUCUGGAAACAAGUUAAGGAGCACAAGCAGUCUGUGGUAGCAAUUUUAGUUGUUUCUGCCUUUUACCACUUCAAAGCAAGCGGAAGGUUGGCAGCAUGUGACUACACAAAAAAAAGAAAAGCAUUGCAGCUACCCUAAAGAAAUAGCUCAGGAGCCUCCAAGAUUAUAGAGUGGACUCCUUUCUCACUAUUUCUUUCUCCACAGUGGCUGUUGGGAUUUAGUCUCACUCCUGGAGAGAAAGGCUGCUGCUACAGGAAGAAAAUUAGUCAGUUGACAAUUAGAAGAUUAACCUGCCCAUGCAACCUGUAAUAGCCCUUUACACUUGGUAACAAGCUGACCUUCAGCCACAUCCUGACACAGGAUCUUCUUCUCUUUGCCUUCUUUAGCAUUAGAGUUCACUGCUGGAAGAUGGUGAAAGGGCUCAGCUUAGGAGGUUGGUCACAUCCUUGACCAUAGGAGCUGCAGCAAGGAGAUUCCAAGGAAUGACUGCAUAAACCAGGAUUACACCAGUAACUCUGGUAACCAUUUUUUAACCAACAUAGUAAUAAUUUCAAUUCACCCUCAAAAAAAAAGGCACAGAAAUACUAACUUUUCAAAUAGUUUAUUUGUAUAUAUCAACAAAUCAUAAAAAGCCAAUGCACUGUCCAGCAAAAAGCAUCAAUAUAUAAAACACAUUUAAUCGUUAUCAGUAAUACUUGAGUAUACCACUUACACUGAGCCCAGUCCAGCUCCCUACUAAAGCCAAAGGAAACAUUGUCAAUGACUCCGUUAGCAGAAGGAUUGGACUUGCAAUUUCUAUUUGCCAGGUGUUUACAAAUGCUUGCAUUAAAAUACUAGUAUAAAGUUUCCCCUUUGAGACUGUAUCAAAACAACGAUAAGUUUAACUCCAAUUCUGUUUCUGUCAAAUGCAUGCAAUUAAUGCUCCAGAUCAGCACUCGUUACACUGCAGGAGAGCAUACAAAGCAUGAGAAAGAAUAUUCAAAACAGAGCAAGCUCUACCCUCAGCUUGUGUGGACUGGCAUGGCUCCAACGAGGCUUACAAAGCUAAGCUGCAUACACCAGCUAAAGAUCUGUCCCAAUCCUACUUUCAGCAGUUAAACAAAUUGUCAAAGUCUGGAGACCUCAAAAACAAAUUAUGAAACACUGAGUGGUCCAAGCUAAGGCUGAAACUGGCAUCAGCACUGCCAGCCCAGGCUCUGCCACACUGGACCCCUCACAUCACAGCCUGAAUGCUGAAGUCCCUCACAGGAAGAACACUAACAGUUCUCAUUAUCUAUUUUUAUUCUGACUUACGGCACUCUCCUACCCCCUUUUUGCUAUCCUUGUUCCUGAUAGGAAGAGAUGUGAGAAACAAGGCCUGAUUAGCCUGGUGGCAAUAAAACUCUGUAACGUUUCCAAGAGUGUUUUUAGAGAAGAAAGGAUUCAGGGGAAGGAGAUGUCAGUGGAACUGGAUUAUUUUUCUUUAUAAACCUGCAAAAAAAACCUUUUAGCAGUACACUUCAAAUCAUGAUAUAUUCAUUUCUCAAGAGAGCUGAAAAAGAGCGGUAGUUUUAUUCAGGGAGUAUUUGACAAAAAUCUCUAAUGGCACCAAUUUACUGUGGAUGUGAUCCCACUGCAGUCUUGUGGUCACCGACCAAAAGGGCGGUUUACAUCUCCUAAAAAACACUGGUUUGAGGAGACUGACAGCAGCUUUAGAAGCCAAAUGGUGACCACACCGAGCAGUGAGGAUUUAAAUCAUUGCAGCAGUCUAGAAAGUGGCAAUGGUUAAUUAACAUGAAGAUCCAGUGUGCUACAGGAGGAUGUGUGGUAUCUCAGACACAGACUGUUGCACUUUGCAGUGUUAACAGGAAAAAAGUAAUUCCUUCUGCUGUGGGACUGAGUGGGUGAAGAGCUCUGGACUGUGUUGUGUGGGAUACUAUGACAGAGUAUUUUCAAACAUCUCCCUGCUUUAGAAUCUAUGGAUUAACGUAUCACUCAUCUGAUUCCACCAGGUUGCUUAAGGGAAUCCUGGCAACCAACUUUGGGAAUCUUUUAGAGCAACGUGUCAGCCAAAUCAGGCCUGGUUUGUGUAAAAGGAAGAGUUUGGCACCAAACCUCAGGGAGUCCAAAUGAGAAUAGCAAAAAAAAACUGAAAUGCUUUUUAUUUCUCUAACAAAUGGCAAAGUUUGCCAUAGGAGCUGCAAUUUCUCUUACAUUCAUAAAUACUGUUCAGAAGCUGUACACAAACUGGAGUCAAACAUGCACAGACGUGGGGGGAAAGGAGGGGAAAAUAAGGACUUUCACCACAGGGUCAUAUAUCCACUUGUGUAAGAAAUCACUCAAGAGGGCAACAGCAAUGAUGAAUUUUCAUUCCUACCUCCUGGCAGGGCAUCUCCACCCUCUCUUUACACCAUAGACAUGUGGAAAGGAGGAACAAGAAUACCUCAGACUACAUUUCCACAAUAA